rnacentral:pre_miRNA from 1 species
CCCACUGAGCCAUCUCACCAGCCCCCAAAGCAACUCUUAAAAAGGACAACAUUUGGGCUGGUGAGAUGGCUCGGCGGU